rnacentral:misc_RNA from 1 species
GGAAAAGAAAAUAAGAAACCUUCUAUAAUUACCAUAGAGACAACAAGCAAGCAAUAUUAGAAACAGAACAUGUUAAUCUAAAUCAAAAUCAAAAGGGAAAAUUCAAGAUAGAACAAAUCUUUCUAAUACUUUAGGGACCCACAGAAUGCAAUAAUGGAACAACUCGUAAUGAAAAGAAUAAAAAAACUGCUUGAAAUAAGCCUAAUGAGAAUCGGCAGUGUGUAGCUAAUCAAACCCAAUAGGAACACUUAUAUCAUUCCAAAGAGCCUCUCA